AUGAUUCUGGUAAAAGAGUGCCGGAAAGCCAUUUGGACCUGGUGCCUUGGUCUGCCCCAUUUGAAGGCAGAAGCUUUGGCUCUAAGGUUCGGAUUAUCUCUCGCACAUAAGGCGGGUUGCAAUCGCCUUGACAUUAAUUCUGACAAUACGAAAGUCAUUGAUACCAUGAAGAAUGGAGGACGGAGCAGCGGCGACAAUUUUUGAUGAUUGUUAUUUUUAGCAUAUGGUUUUCCUCUCACUAGGUUUGAGCAUUGUAAUAGGGAAGCGAAUAAGGUAGCUCAUGAACUUGCCAGAUUAGCUAGAUUUUCUGAGACAAGGGGUUGGAUUGAGGAGCCUUUAGUCGAGAUUGUACAAUCUCUAAUAGACGAUGUAACCGUUAUUUCUAAUUAA
rnacentral:rRNA from 1 species